UGGUGACAAUGGCAGUAGCUGCAGU
rnacentral:misc_RNA from 1 species